ensembl:lncRNA
GCCUCCAUUAGACGUAUUGAUUCCCGCCCACCCCCCCUUGUCAAAUUCAACUGCCUCACAGGGUUGUCUUCUUAGACUUUAAUGCUUUUGGUUAUCCUCAAACGCAACCGAGGCACACUGAAUCAGGAAAAGUGCGCAUGAAACAAUUCCCGAAUCGAGCAGCGAGGACAGAGAGAGAGAGACGCUGGAAAAGUUGAAAGCGGAGUUGGUCAAUUACAGCAGACUCCUCCGGCUUUGAGUCUUUGGUGGACCAUAAGCUCUCACGCUGUUUUCUUAAGUCGUCCGCCGCCAGAGAAAUCCUGUUUACCGUGUAACAACGGCGUGGUUGUCAACCACAGCUUACAUGCAUGCACCUGAGAUCACAGGCCCGCCGCUUUAUGGCAUGACAAACACCCACAUUACACACGCCGCAACACACGGGAAACACGCAGCAGCCUGCUGAUAGGUGUGUGCGUGUGUGUUUGUGUGUUGUUACCUGACUGCUCCUGUAUAAUUACCCGGGAAGUCUCCUGAUGUGAAACCUUCGCUGUUCUCACAAUGAACCCAUUUACUGCUGCAAACCAUCAAACACCUGCCUCACACACACACACACACACACACACACACACACACAUACAGGGGCUGAUGGUUUGCAUAUACCGGCAUGCACACACACAAACACACACACACACACACAAACAGAGGCCUUGAGAAAUGCAUAUACACACACACACACAUACAAACACACACAAACCAUUUCAAACGAAUGCAGGGAAAUAAACAGAGACGAGAGCACACAACCUCUUCACCCCUCUGGGAAUUUUACUAUUCUGCACUUCUCUGCUUCUCUCAUCCUCUCUCUCUCUCUCUCUCUCUCUCUCUCUCUCUCUCUCUCUCUCUCUCUCUCACACUCUCCCUCACACACACUCUCUCCCUCUUUUCCUCUCUUCGUCUCUUCCUCUGCUCCUUUGUCUCCCUGAUUAUGCAGUCGAUCCCAGGGUGCGCUCCUCACUGAGAUCAUCCACCUGUCAAUCUGAAGCACACACACACACAAUUUUUUUUUGCACACACCAUUCCACAGUGAUAUUGAUACAGAGGAAAUAUUAAUGACUUCACUCACCUGCAAUACGCCGUUGUAUCUUGCACUUCCAACAGCGGGCCAUGCAAUUCAUCAGCGCACAGUUCUGGAAACUUCCACUCAAAUAAAAUGAAAGUGUGGUGAAAUAACACUGAACGCUUUGUCCCUGAACACACCCACAGAGAUGUGCAGAAAGCGUCACAUCAAGUCGUGGAAAUGCAAGAUGGCUUGCAAUUUCAGCUUCUUUAACACAUGUCAUGUAGUUUUUCACUGCAUUGGCAUGUGAUUAUGUCUUUUUCAGGAUGUUCUGUGAUGCAAUCUGAUCACAGUUGUGCGUUCAGUAGUCUGCACAUGCAGGAACAAAGUGAAGAUGGAGAAACACGGUAUAUGCACAAGGUAUGAAAAUACCACGCAAGUAUUUUCUUCGUCGUGGCCUUUGAAUACUUGUUGGAAUAUCACAUGGUAAUUUAAGUGUGUUUCUUAGUCUUCACUUAAGUGUUCUUAUCAACAGCGGGGUUGCUGUCUGAAGCUUGUGAAUAUUUUUCUCCGUAUUAAAUCCAACAAUGUGUUUCAAUCAUGCAGGCAAGUCAGCCUCAGGCUGAUUAUUAUCAAGGCUUAACAUUCAAUAUGUGAAUCAAAUAAUGUCAAGAUAAACUUAUAAUAUCUAAUAAUCACAUAACAAACACAUAUGUAAGGAGAGCGACUUCCCUCCUUGCUGCCAUGAUAAUGAGUGUUUAAACUGCUCCACAAGAUGAGUCAGAAGGCAGAGAAGAUCAGGAACCAGGACUGCCAUACUGCAGUAAAAUGAGACACUACCACCUUUGUCAACACGCCAAAAUCAACACCAAAUGAAAGUAUGGUUGUAGAUUUAACUCUGCAAUCAUUAGUAAAGAGUGAGGCUGAUCUGAGAAGGAGGUGUUGAAGAGCGUUCACACAGCAACACACAGGAAGGUUUUGUUUAGCAAAGGAAAAGAAGACACCUUCGUUGACGAAGGAGAAUGACAUUGAUCGGCCGAAUACGGGAAAUUUGGUUUCCCUCCAUACAUCAGAUGGCCCACAUAUUUGCAUUUUUGUAACAGGUCGUCGGCCCGAUGGAUGAGGACAGAUUGAUAUCUAAGAUCUCGACUCAUUUCCUUUCUCUGUCUCACUCCAUCGCUCUCUGAGAUCCUGAGGCCUUAGCCUCAUGUGCUCUGAUGGUAGAGGUUACCAUGGCAACGCGGUGCUCUUGUGGCCCUCGAUGUCGGCACACACACAAACACGCACAUCCACUCUUUAUGCUCUCUCUAGGUCUCCCUCGGUCUCAUCAUGCAUACAUAUUCGGAGCUACAGGUGCCCCAAAAGUAUAUCAUCCUUCCUGAUUUUGAUUGACAGACUCGCGGGGCAGCGGAUCACAAUUAGUGAUGGUGCUAAUUUCCCACAAUGCCCUGCAGCCACUGGGCACCCACUGCGCCCGCAGCCAACUCAUCAAUAUUCAUGAGCCAUCUGAUGAAUAUGCAGAUUGAGAAACGCGGCGGUGUCCAGGUGAACAGCAGCAGCCCACCAAUCAGAGGCCGCCGUGUGUGCUCGACUUCCACGGGUCGGAGACGUCGCAGGAAACGGGAAGCCGAUGCAUCCGGAGCGACUCAUCCGAGUUAUGAUUCCGAUGAAUGGAUUAAAUCUUGAUAAUGAACAUUGAGAUCUAAAUUAAGAUUAACCACACAAUCACAAAUCAAAUUCUAAUUUUAAUUUACUGAUUUUAAAACUAAAAAAGUGCUUUUCUGCUAAUCCUUACAUUAUACUUAUAACAUAACUUGAAUCACCGUGGAUUAUAGGUCUGAAUUCAACCUCAAUCCACAUACAGUAUUUGAACCUAGCAACAAGGAAACCAACCUAAUACUAAACUCUGUAUACAUUUUACACCUAACUUUAGUGGUCUGAUUCUAACAAUCAUAUUAUACACUACUUCUAAUCUCAUUGAUUAUUGAAUUGUAAAUUUCACUUAUACUCUAAUCUAAUGCUCUAAUAUGUUAUUCUUAAAAAGUACCUGCUAUAUUGGAUUUUAAUGUUAAUCUUGAUUCAAACCACAUGGUUCAAUACGCUUUACUUUGCUUCAAAGAAAAAAGAUUACAAAUCAUAACUGUGUCACGAUACUAUGAGUCAUAUAUUUUAUAACCAGACGUUGGUGGGGCCGUAUAUUAGCCAAUAUUAUCUCACAGAAGUAUCCCCAUUAACAGCAUAUGUCAACCAAUAUGUAACAGAAAUACCAAAGCAUUAAGGACAUGGGCCUAUAUAUCCUCAUUAAAUAAUCUUAGUUUCCCUGUAAACAGAAUGUCUGAAAAAUAGUUUUUGAUGCAAGUUGGUUGACAGUUUCCACCCAAGGCCUAGUAGUCAAUUAUGGUGAUGAAUUUGAUCUACAAUUUCAACCAUUUUUGCCAAAGCUUAACACUAACAGAGCGUUAAGGUCCUGAGGGAUUGUUUGCAGAGUCAAGGAAUAAAACUCUAUCGAACAGAGGUGACAAGAAUGGCAUCUGUGGGCGUGAUUUAUCUUCUUGUUCACUCAAAGUUUGUGUCAUCCUCUUGUUAAACCAACUGUCCUUAAUUGGUGGAAGUUCAAGAAUAUUUACAUGGAGGAUGUAUUAACUCUGCAAAAGCAUCUCCCUGUUAUAUCGUAUGAAAAGGUUUUUGGUGUUUAAAUAUAUAAGCACACAAACACCGACUGACUCACACACACACACACACACACACACACACACACACACAAGAAGCCACACCGGGAGCUGCUCUGCUGCAGAUCUGGGAGUAAAACCAAAGCGGACAGAUCAGAGCGGAGAUAUAAUCAACCCUGAGUUCUGAGGAAAAAGCCGUCCGCUCCUUCCUUCUACUUCCUUUACUCUCUCAUCUCGAUGCCAUCCUCCACCACCGUCGCCCCCCCCACCUGCACCCCCCAUCUGUGUGGAGCUCUGGUGGUGCUGGCACAAAGCGGGCCGGUGCGUCUGGGCAAACCGACAGCCGGCGCCGCUCAGGACCCACGGCACUGACUCUGAGAUGGGGCUCACGUCGAGGCAGCGGCCCGGUGCAGAGUUCAGCCCAACCAGAAGGCUUAUUGUUGCUGUAGGAGUGUGUGUGUGUGUGUGUGUGUGUGUGUGUGUCACAGCUUUCCCCAGAGAGAUCCACCAUUAAUUGUGAAGUGAAGGAGCCUGAGGGCGACACCGGGGACCUCCAUUAAACACAGACAGGCAACUGACAACCUCUCUCUCUCUCUCUCUCUCUCUCUCUCUUUCUUCCCCACUUUCUUUCUCCAUCAUCCCUCAUCCCCUCCCUCAUUUAUCCUCUAAAAUUCUAAUUCACAUUCAAAUUUAAACAAGGUUCACAGCCAUGAAAGGAGCAAGCUAAUGUUGGCAAAGCAAUAACAGCACACAAAAGAAAAUAGAUUUGUGGAUUCUAGGAGCCUGGAAGGAAGGAAUGUAUCAACUAGGUAUAGACGUGCAGGAGAUGUCUGCUUUCUUGCAAAUUUCAAGCAGUGAUUACCUUUGUUUUGCAGAAAUCCUAUUCUGCUGUUUGUCUGAUUCCGCCAGAUGAAAUAAACUAUAGUUUUUAAUUACCUCAACUCAGACAUUCACACCUCAACAGGAAGGCCCCAAUUAUACUUUCAAAACAUCUCUCUCUGCUUUAAGUAGCUUUCGUUCCAAGUCGUCAGUCAGUGGAGAGAAACUUUGUCGCCUCAGAAAAGGAGAAACCUAAAACUUCCUAAUGGCGUCCUGGCCUCGGAGCCUGGCCACACAGCCUGGUGCUUCAUGUCGCUGGGCUCUGAUUCCCUUAUGAACGUAUUUCCAGAGCAGUGUAAUUAUUGCAGGCACAACGCCUCAGGAUGAGAACCUGAUUCCCUACUGGAUCUGUCUGGACUCCUGAAUAAGCCCAUAUUUGAGAUCUUCUCCGAACUGCCAGUCAGCAGCUGGAUCUUCACCAGAGGAAGCUUUUCCUUUGUCCCCUUGUGAAUCCAUAGCUUCUGAAAGUACGAUCACCACUGUGAAUGUGAAGAUACGUUUGAAAUGGCCACCGAUUAUCUGUCAUUCUCAUCACUCCUUCAUCAUCUCUCAGGAUUUUUUCCCUCCUGUGUCGUUGUGUGAUUGUACGAGCAGGGAGGGUCACCAGCCACUAGAGGGAGCACCAGUAGUAGGGAAAAGGCUCACACAUGUCAGUCCCAACUCACCCCCUCCAUGGCUUUGACCAUUAAACACACACACACACACACACACACACACAGUUACACAGUACAGUAUCUGUACAUAAUGCUGUAGGCAAAUACCAAUGAACCUAAUGGAGUCCACCUUAACUCUGAUUAUCAAUGAACUUGCCGGGGGAAGCACUGAUGUGCAUUUUAUUCACGUUCACAGACACGCACAUGCACAGACACACACACACACACAUACGCUAUAGCAGAUGUUAAGGAUUAAUGUGUGUGUAUGUGUGUGUGUGUGUGUGUUUGUGCGUAGCCUCAGGCAAUGUUCAACAAUGCAUUAUUCCUGAGUGCACCAGUUAAGAGGGGCACUCCGUCACCAUGGCAACCACCCUGGCCCUGAUGUAAACAUGGGGGUAGUUGAACGUCAGCCCCAAUAAAGUGGAAGACUUGCCCCCCCUAGAUUACAGACAAUAAAAGACUACGAUAGCAAUUCGUAGUGUGAAGAUGUCACAAUUUCUUUUAAAGAAGUUUGGGUGUCGUCUGUGUGAGGGCGGCGAGGGUAAAGUGAAGGUCAGUUGAUCACAACAUGAAUAAAUAUCUCAUUUUCUACCUCAUUUUUAUCCAAACCCAAGCACUGUGAACAUCAGAUCAAAAAUGGAGCUGAAAUGAAGGUGAAAUAAACUGUUUUCUAAAAGAUUAACAUUCUUUUAAUCUGAUUGAAAGUUUGCUCGUAGCAUCCUGAAAAUGUUGAUCUUUAGUCAGGCGUAAUCAAAUAUAAAUAAAAUAAAUUUAAAAAGUCCCAUACUCCAUGGCUAACAUCUGAAGAAACCCUGCUUUGUUAUACAACGCAGACUGCUGCCAACUUUUGAUGGCCCGCAGAGAAGAAUGGUGGAUUUCUGGAGAGAUUAGUAUAAUCACUGGAGUCCCUCAGGGGCUGAAUAUAGGUCGACCAGAAGCACAGAAUCUAAGCUAAGAGAGGAGAGGGUACCAGCGGCCACGGGCAACGUUUUAAGGCAAUGUUGCAGGGUACCCAUGUCUGUUAACACGUUAUAAACAUUGUUAUACUGCAUAUUUUAAGGAUCAUAGUUCAUUAAAAUUGCCAUAUAUCUAAUUCCUAGUGAUCUAUUUUGUUGUUUAAAUCAAAUCAAAUUAGAUUUACUGAUAUUGUUUCACUUUAUUUAAAGCACAUUGUGUAGUACAAGUGAUCAUUAUAUUUAACAAAAAUGGAAAUUAUAACAGUUAUCACAAAUUCAUUAUGAAGUAUUUUGAUACUUGGUAUUAUAUAUUAAGAUGUUAUAAAAUGCUUUGUAAAGGCUAUUUCUAUAAAGCAUAAGGAAUAUUUAUGAGUGCUUGUGUGUGUAAGUAUACAGCUCAAUAAACAUAUCAUAACACAUUUUAAUUAUGUUUGUGAUGCAUUAUCGACAUUGGCGUCAUCACUUGAGCAUUUGCUCCUCUCGGAUUCAUUUGAACAGAACAGAAUGUGUUUUCCUAAAGUAUAAAUGAGUCUAACGGCAGAGAGCCGUAAUAUUAAUUCCCUUCUGAAGGGAAAUUAUUAUUGAAUGGUAUUGUGUCAUCUAUUCAUGUUACACUAUCAUAUUCAGUUAAAUUAUACAACACAAUAUCAUUUUGGCACAUUUGUGUUGCACUGUACCAUUUUGUAUCAUUUGUCGUACCGUCAUUUCUACUGCACCAAUUGUACAGUGUUUUACAGUGUUGAAUCACACUUAGAAUUACGUUGUUUGUUUCAAGACUUUAUUCUUUUCCUGCUGCUUUUGUCGUGAAUGAUUAAAUCAUUUUGUCUCCUUUGUACAAACCAGUGAAAAUCAUCUUAUCAAACACUCGAAAAUGUAACAAAACAUCCACUGCUUACUUUGAAAGGUCAUCCGCAUUAUUCAUUAUUUGUCGUGGUUACUCAGUAACAGUCAGUAAGGAGUCAUUUAAAAAGGUGCAGUGCAUUGUGUGUGGGAAGGUGUCUUGGCAGAAAUGUAAUGUUUAUAAUCACAGGACGAUGAUUGAGUUUUUAUCAGCAUAUAAUGAGGCCUUCAUCGGGGGGAAAACAGCGCCACCGCCGCUAUGCACUCGCCGGCUUACGCUCCCGUGGUCCUAGAAAGGGACACACAUAACCUUUAUGCUAAUGAUAAUAGUUAACACAAAAAAAUGAGUUGUGUGGUUCCCUUGGAAACCAACAGACGAGUGUUGAGUCAGACCGAACCCAGCGCGCCCACCACCUCAUCCAGGCACCGCCAUUACUGUCUGCAAGCCACGCGAGCAGAAAAGUGGGCGCGACGGGGGUUAUAAUGCUCUUGAGUGUGUUUACAAUUGUGUGUGUGUGUGGAUCCCAAACUUACCACCCAUCGGAAUGGGUUCUGGUUUGUGUGUGUGUGUCUGACAGCUCAGAUGAGGACUGGCUGCAGGCAGCUGCUUUGCUCGAGGCCACAUUCAGUUCCGUCGCACCGCAUUAGUCCCCAACCAACCUGUCACCCCCAGCAAGAGAGUGAUAGCACGCAGCACACACACACACACACACACACACACACACGCACGCAGUCACGCCGUUAAAUACAUUCAUUUUACCAUUAAUCAACCAUCAUCAAUCACCAGUUUCCAAUGUGUUCGUGAGUAAAAAGCAGCACGUAACGCGGCGACUAAUGCGGAGAUGACUCUUAAUCUCCACCGUGCUCUGAAACGAUACACGGUGGCAAAACCACGGCUUCCUGUCCGCGCUUUUCAUCAGAGGGGGGGUAGUUGGGGGGGUGUUGCUUAAUCAGAGAGGCUAUAGCUAAAGUGCAGUGUGUGUUUUUGUGUGCGUGCAGUCCGUCAGUGCUGAUGUGCUAGUGAGGGGGACUAACCGGAGUUGAGUGGAGUCUUUUGUAGCGCAGGCGAGGCCCUCAGGCACAGCCCCAGACCUAGAUCCCCCCACCACCACCACCACCAGCAGCCACACACGCACACAGAUAAGUGCACACACACACACACAUAUACACGCCGUUUGCAUAUGCCUUCGGCCGUCGUGCUGUAGAUCUGAUGUGACAACUACAGUGGGGCACACUUUCCCACUAUCACCCCGCGUUUUGACGGGAUGUGACCGCCCGUGUGUGUGUGUGUGCAAUGGCGGUGGGGUGGGGUUAGUUGAGGGCUGCCAUAAUGAGGCUUGGUUUUGGUGGGACAGAUGUUGGGAUUCGGAGGGCAUCGGUUGAGACAAGGAAGUGAUGGUUCAUUGGGAUGAAAAUCUAAGUCUCUCUCUCUCUGUCUCUUUCAGCCUGUCUGCGUCUUGGUGUUUUUCUGUCUCUAUUACUGCCUUUCCCUCCCUCUCUCUCUUUGGUAUGAUUUCCUGUGCCCGGAGCCACUGACAGAGGCAAUUCUUCCCCACUCUGCUGCAAUGGUGCAUCUCUGAUUAACUUUUAAUGACUUCACUGUAGCAGCCAGACACACACAUGGAGGCCAACUCCGGCUGGAGAUGCGGGCUGGCUAUGAGAUGAAUCGACUGAGAAGUUUGCACUUUGGCUCAGCCGGGCUAAUAGCCCGUAAUGAAAGCGAUAUUUCAGAGCAAUCCGAUAGGAUGGAGGGCUAAAGCCGGGUUUUUGUCUUCCUCGCUCGCUGCAGGCCUCUGUUGAUUGCUGUGCAAAAGGGUUCAAGAGGUUACCUCAUAACUGCUGUUAUCACGGACAAGGAUCCAAUCUUUGAAUCUGGAUCUUGUUUUUUAACCCUUUGUCUUUUCCUGGUAAUAUUGAUCUGUAUGUAUGUUCCAUAAUGGUGGAGCUACAGACUGUAAACAACUGGAACUGAAUCCCAAAGCUUGACUUGUUUUGACUUGAUUUACUCUGACAGACUCAGACUAGACUUAAAUAAUUUCAGAUUUGACCAAUUUAGGACCUUAAUCUAACGUGUCUCUUGUGACUACUAUGACAAAACUCUGAGAAGGGCCCGACUGACGGAUUUGAAGCCUCAUCUUCACUUUUCACCAAUUCCCAAAGACUCGUUUUUCCACGUCUCAUGAAACAUUUACAGACUUUUAAGAAUGGUUUGGCUACUUGUAACAUUAAAGCGGCCAGAAGAAAGCCUGCUGAUAGCAGCCAGCGCUUUAGACUGGGCAAACUGGGCCCAGGUGUUCCCAGUUGGCUCCAUUGAUCUGCUGCCACCAGGUAUCUGGAGCUCACGGCGAAUGACGGAUCAGUGGGGAACGGCAUCGGGUGUCACCAUAUAAAAGGAGAAAGCCUUCAUUACAAUCAACCAAAUGCCUCGCAAAAUGUCCCUGAUUGUGUAAAAUAAAUCAUUAAAAAAAUCCAGAGUUGAUUGAAAUGGUGUGAGGGUAGUUUGAGAGAAAGCGAUAUUUAAAGCCGGAUAUGUGAAAUCAGUGGGAUGAGAAGGAGCUGUUGCAUCACCACACACCUGCAGUGUUCACGUUGGAUACAAAGAGAAGCCUCGUGCGCGGCAGUUCAGAUAAAGGCAACCAUCCAGAUUAUUUAGGGAGAGUCAGAGAUCAUUGCAUUAAAUUACCAACACAUUUUAACAUUUAAAAGAAUGGAUACUAGAAUGAGCAUUAUAAAGCAUACGUGUAUUGCACUAUAAAAAGAGAGGUUUGUGAUAUUUAGAUAUUUCUCAUUGACAUGAAUGAAGUGGAUUGAAGAUUAGAAAACAUACAAACUGUCUUGCUGGUACUUUAUCAGUCUGUCACAUGCAGAGUGAAGUGCUGGUCUCCGUUGCUGCUGCGGGUACAUGCUGAAUAGGCGGGAAAGUCGGGGUAUUGAUGAGUUCAGCCAUUUUGUUUUUUUCUCGGGGCGAAACUCUCUUUCAUGUUUCCGAUCAGAAAGAAGGAAAACAGUUAUGAAUUAAACAUGCGGACGAAACACCUCUGCAACAUCCACACCUUACUGCAUUUCCAACAAAGCUUUUAGAGGUCUGCUUCUUGAUGGUAGUCAUCUCUGCCCCAUCGGAAUACUGUAAGCUGCUCUCUCCACUUUAAUUCAUUUUUAGAUUUACUUUCUACUCGCUGACCCGCUAUCAAUGUGUAAAUGUAUGAGGCUUGUUUCAUGUAACAGGUUGUUUUCACUUCAGCCCUGCUGUGGGAUCUGCCUCAUGAAAACAGUAUUUGCAUUUCUGGUCCUCAGGUACAAUUUCAGAAAUAGAGUGAAUAAACCUAAUCUCAUCACCGCGUCUGUUUAGUGAUUCUUCUGAAGCUUUCCCUCGCAUCCACUUGGGCUAAAAGUUGACUGUCAAAGUUUCUCCUCGGCCUCUUGAAGGUCCAAUUUUAGCAGCUGUUCUGGAGCUUUUCAUCACAUAGCAGAAUCUUCCUGAGAAUAUGGAGGUCAGAGUUGACGGAGUUUUGAAGUUACCACUACAGGUUUUAUAAUCAUUUUGCAAGUGCUGAGUUUGAAGGAUUCAAGGACACCAGCCUGUGUUACGUCCAAUGGCAGCAACAGAUAAUAAAUAAUAGGGUAUCUUUGCGUAGCACCUUUGUGGUUAGGAUUGGUUAAAGAUCACGGUUGUGUAAGAAUAUAAUACAUAACGUUUAGAAACCUCAAAUGUUGGACAAAUUCGAACAUGAAGAAACGUUUGUGACAUCACAUGACUUUCAACCCUCUGCGUGGACAAUUGUAAAGGACGUACAUUGACAAUUGUUCACAGUAAGGGGCUGAAGGGCGAGAUAGUGGAGGGAGUGUUCGUUCCAGCCAUGAAGCCUUCCACCUACUCCAUCAGGGGAAUUGCGUUCAGGUGUGGCAGGAGACACACCUGAACCUCAUCUCCUCAUCAAGGGGUGGGUACAAAAAGGCAGGGGCGGAAGACGUUGGGGGAGAGACAGGGUGGGAGAGCAGCAGUAUGGGGGGGGGGGGGGGUGUGAGUGAGAGCCCUGAGAGCACCAGGAAAAGCAGUCCCGGUUGACUGCAUAGUCUGAUUCCUUAAGUUUAAUUUAGUUUUGCCAACAUGCUGGAGAUAAACUUGGUGAUCUGCUGCCAUAAUUGUUACAAUUCUCAGUGCAACCCUGUUACAAUUACAUUGAUCGUGUCGGGUAACAUUAAUGCACCUCAUCAAGUCAAUAUGAGCCAAGCCACAGCAUGUUAUAUUUAAUAAUGUAUAAAAGCAAGUCUGGAUUUUCUUAUUGCAGAAUAGUGCAGCGUGUGACUGUGAGGAAACGGCUGAGGAGGGAGGGACCAUUUUCAGAAUGUAGCUUCGGCCCUCAGGGAGGCGACGGCCUGCUCUGAUGUUCGCUCCGGAUUGCAAAUAGGGGCCUACAGAAUAAUCCAAUAUUAUGAAAAUGUGUUGGAGAUACGAAGGUGACACGAUCUCAUCCCAUCACAGCAUUUCACUGCACGCUAUAAGGAUCAAAGACGACUGUAUUCAAUAGUCUCUAGUGUGCACAGGCAUAUUGCACACACUGCUUUUCUUUGAAUGGUCGAUAAGUCAAUCUCUACUCUUCUGUUUUCUCUAUCUUUCUCCAGGCCACUGGUGUCAUUGGUUGUCCAAAGUGUGUGUGUGUGUGUGUGUGUGUGUGUGUGUGUGUGUGUGUGUGUGUGUGUGUGUGAGAGGGGGCACACACAUCUGCAGUGAAACUAGCUUCAUGCCGCCAGUAACUCAUUGCAUUGUGUUUAACUUUUAUUUGCCCAAUGAUGAUGAUUUGACAACUGCUUCUAAACAUAUUUAUCUUCAAUCUUUGAGAAAAAUCUGAAAGAACGUUUCAGCAUAAAAUACAACAGAAGCAUUAAAGAUUUAAAAAGCAGGAAAUGUAUUGCAAGAAAGAACGUUUUUGAAAAACAGUAGAUUUCAGUAUUCUUUUGUAUGAAAACAGACUGCUGUGUAAUCAUGGAAAGCAGAUCAAAAAAAGUUUGUAUGAUGACUGUUAAAAUAAAAAAGGGCCCUCAACCUUUUCAAAGCACAAGCUCAACUUAAUUCCUGUGUAUGCGUCGCGUCCGUCUGGUGUGGUGUCCAUGCGUUGCUGUCGGAGUGCGGUUGAGUGCUAUGCUGUGUUGCAUCUCCCCGUGGUGGAGAUGGAAGGCGACACGGCGGCCUGCUCUCUGUCAGAGGAAGGCGAGUGUUAAUAUUUAACCGAGGGAGGCUCUAUUUAGAGCCCGCCGCCUCUCCUGCUCCCCGGUGGACGGCACAACGCCGAUGCAGGCCGCCGCCGUUAUGGAGGAAAGCUGUAGGAGGCAGCCGCACGUCACUAAGUCGCCCUGACAGAAUCAGUUUGCAGAUGAGCUUUAAAACGCGUCGCACUGUUUUCCAUGUCUGCGUGUUUGUGUGUGUGUGUGUGCGUGUGCGCGCCCUGAAAAUCUCUAAUUUAAGAGUUUCUCUUCAGAGACACUUGCAAAGCCCCCAGCAUGCUUUGCAACGCAGCUCACAGGCCCAUUGCAGGCCAUUCGGGUACAGAAGCAAUGCUCCCCAAAAAGCCGACACAACUCACACAUUUAUUUCAUGCCCUCAGUUGUUGUUUUGACCUGAGGUGACCUCGACUUUCUUCCUCUGGGUUUCAUUGACUUUUUCAACUCUUCUUCCGCAUUUUUGCUGAUUUAAAAAUUCCCUUUACCCAUCAGUGUGUGUGGGAGUUUGCCAACACGAACAUUUUAGGCCUUAUACCAUUUCCACGUGAAAUACCUGUGAAUGUUGCACGUCAUGGGCUUUGGUUGUGAAAGGGGAGAAUGGAAAGAGCGGAUCCGGUUUGCACGGCCAUUUGUCGUGGUUGAAAGGAGCAACAACGUUUUCCUGACCACAGCGUCUUCAUGUCACCCUGUGAGCACCCGAGGCUCGAUCAUUAUGUGACGCAGCGAUUACACAAUCUCUUCUUCCAGUUUGAAAGGAUACCCGCGAUCAGAUUUCUCGUACAAUCUUAAACACUAAAAGUUCAAAUUAAAGAUAUACGCUACUGCUACUUCAGAGAGAGAUUGUAAGUGCAAAUUGAAUGUAUGGAAUGCUGGAGACUUCAUGAACUGGCUACACAGUGUUUAUUUCUUGAGUUGUAGCACAUCAUUGCUGCUGUAUUGAUAAAUGUCUUUCCAUUACCUGUGGAUAUUUCAAUAGACAUCUUUGGUUUUUGUAGUUUGGAGGGAAACCUUCCUCAAGCGCAUUCAUAAAGCAUAUGAAUCUAAAAUUAACGAAUGGUCAGUUUGUCCAUGCAAGGAAUCUGCUCCAUUCUUCUUAGUGUCAGUUGGUCUUUUAGGGUCUGCUCAAUGCGUGUACUGUUCAGUUCACCGUAUGCAAAUGUUCUGAAAGAUACAAGCCCUUUAAGUUCUGGACCAAUCUUUCUGGAGGAAUUUCUGCAAACUGGAAUGUAAAGGUCGGAAGUGGCCUCUCUUAACCUUUAACCUUCAAGGCGAGACCUUUUGUCAAGUGCUGGACAAAAGCUUCUUUCCAGCACGAGGGGCCCGAGGCCCCGAUGUCGACCCCUCCUUCUUGCCCUGUUGUUGAGACUACUAGGUACAUUGAAGGUGAAGUUUUGUUUUGAGUGUGUGAUUCUCCAAAUUUGUGGAAUGGACUGUAAGCACCUUGUUUGUUUUGAACAAUAAAGCCUGUAAUGAUAACUGGGUAUAUUACAGGCUACACAACAACAUUACUUUAAUCUGAAAUUCAGCAUAAUCUUUUAUUUAGCAUUAAAUUCAGCCGUACAAAAACACAAUCCUCAUGUUGACAUUGAUCUGUUGCUCUCGUUUUUUCUCUUUGUCCGGAAAAAACUAUCAUCAGUUACUGGUUGAUUUCCAUCAAUCCUGCAGAACUUUACACCUUCUGCAGAUGGUUGAUUAACUAGAGAAAGUCCCAGUCCUGUAGCACUUUGAGGCGUUUCAUGUCAAACAGAUAAACACAUGUGUGCAGAAAACUAAAGUAUGUGGUGUCCUGUCCUCUAAGUGUCGAAGAUGCUCUACUGUCACAUUUCCAAUGUCUCUGGGAGAAACAAAGGCCUAAAGUGAGGAGUAAAAGACUCUCUACAAUUUCAAAGAAAUCUCUGCUUCUAUUUGCGUUUGAGGUAAAUAAAGCCUCCAGCUACUAUUUGUGAAUUCAUGGUCCAGAAUAAAUCUACCGAACCUUCCAGAUAUCAUCUGAAAGAGCCGGGCAGUACAAACCUCGAUAAUGCACCAAGUGAGCCUACAACAAGCUGCUGAUGUACAUUUAGUUCAUCUUUCUUCUUUGUCAUCAUGCGAGACUUUAAAUCUGACUUGUGAUGUUCUCCUAAAGACGGCUGGUUACUGAAGCAGAACAUCUCAAUAACAAAUUAAGAGUAAACCCUGCUGAACUUCUGUAAUACUCGAGGCUCGCUCUGACAAAUUUAAUUAGCAGAUACGGAUAAAGCAUUUACAUCUGAGUGUGUGUGUGCGUGAUCUGAUGGGAUCAAUAGUGGUUUGGGAGGCCCAGUUGGCAGCUGCUGAGAGCUGGAAACAGGUGCAGACAUGGCUGCUUGAUGUACAAGGCGACUGAAAUGAGAUGAAACCACUUGACACCCAGAAGAACCAAUUAAUUACACUAAAUCUCCUGCAACAGUGAGACUACGAACAGCUCGACUGCUGCAGAUCAGCGAGGAAUGCCUGGAUCCAGCACAGAAUCCUAAAAGGAUUCCAUGUAUUUCAGCUUGAAAAAUAAAGUGAAAGAUGAUAAAGAGCUUGAAAUGUAUUUAGAUGCUUUUUCCGAUGACGCCCAAACUGUCGUACGAACGAGGAGAGCAGAGACUGGGAGGCUUUUCCUGGGAGUCCUGGGAGCAGCUGAGAUGUUAGGCAUGCUAAUGCUACUUACUGCAUGAAACUGGCCAGGAAAAAUCCGACAGACGGACACUUCUGGGACAAACAAGCCGGGCAAAGCCAGUAAAACAUAACGUUUUUUUACUCAGUUAGACGUUAAGAAACCGGAUCGGUAAAAGAUUGGAUCCAAAAUCACUAACCACAGAGCAAUUUGCCGUUAUGUGCUGUUUGUUAACAUGUGGACUUUGAGCCUCUAAAGUAUCUUUGUUUGAUUCCUCGAUUCAUUACAUUGAAACAGCUAGAAUUUGUAGUAAUGAUAUCAGUAAUAACGAUAAUAAUAUCAGUAAUUAUAAUGCAUUAAUAAUAAUAAUAAUAACCUAUUUAUCGUCAUGAGCAGUAGACUAUUUAGAAAGUAAAUACUGAGUGAAUUUUGAGUGAAUCUCACUUGGAAAUAAUGAAAAAUAAAAUGUUCCCUAACAUUAAAAACUAGCAUCGUUUUCGUCCAAAACCUUUCCAACCCUCGAGUGUGUCAAUUAGCAGUAGGUGCAUUUAAUAUGUGUGGAGGAGGAUGUUUGAGGUGUAUCGGUAUCAGGUGGCCUUCUCUUCUGAAGCGCCAGCCUAAAAUUUUGAACGUUGCCCUAAUUAAGUGCCCCUCCCUUGGCCAGCGUGGUCCUGGUGUCCCCCCUCCCGGGGCCCGGGGGGGCCGGUGUGGCCGUCUGGGGGGGCCUGACCCCAAAACCCCGCCUGAGGCACUGACUGCCACCAGCCUGAACCCUCCCUAACCCCCAACUAGCUCCCUCCCCUCCCCGGCUUCCUCUCUCUGAUGCUGUGCUCCGCCGUCCAAUUGGCUCAGAGCUACAGACUUCUUUUGUCUGUCCUCAUUAGAAUACUGAUCCUCCACACACACACACGCACACAAAGACAUUCACACAUUCAUUUUUCACUAAUUACAGUAUCAUUAGUUGAUCUAUUGCAGCCAGAUGGUUGACAAAGGGAUUUAAAAAUUAACAAUUUCACACUUAUUGUGCGGAUUCUGAUUCAUAAAAUACAAUCUGUAGUUUGUGUCCAACAAGACCUCACGUCCGGUCCAGUCGCCAGGAAGAAAUGUUGUUAGUCUUUGCAAUUGUUUCCAGAAACGGCCUGUUACUGAAAGUGAGAGAGUUCACUACGGGUUGAUGGGCCAGUUCUUCAAUUUUGUGUCACACAUUAAACACAUUUAGAAGGAAACUGUUGACUGUCACUAUUUUGGAUACAGAAAAAAAGCUCUUUUUUGACAAAGAAGAAAAGGAUAUUUAGGAACAGUUUGUAUAUUUCGUUGAACAGACAUAUAUGUUGGUUCAUGAAUGAAAUGAAUUCUCCAACAAGACCAACAAACAUUUACGCCCCUGAAACAAGUACACGGCUAAAAGUUUUAAAAGUGAUUUUCAAGCAAAACAUUUACAAACACAACCAUGUAUGUCUUUAGGAAAACAAACGGAUUCAAAAACGUUUCAAAUACAAAGGCAGAUAAAUCACAGGUAACAUUGUGCAAUCGGGCCCGGUCCCUUCAUCCGCCGGCAGCUGUCCAUCAUCUUGACUGGCAGCCCAGAGGAAGGCUCUGACGGGCAGAUGAGAGCAAGAAGCCGAUCUCUGCCGCAGAGGCAACAGCGGCAGUCCUGUGUUCUACCUGCCCGCCUCCCAGCACCUCCUCCCGCUCUCCUGACCGCCUCCCGCAGGCUCGCCUCCCUCCUCUGCCUGCAGCCAAUAAACACAGGACAUUAUCUCCUUGAGGAAAGGUAUUGUUCACAGGGACGCCAGUGCUUUCUCUGCUUGUUAAACCAUCCAGGGCAGACAAGAAAGCGGCACGCACGCUCCAUUGUCACAAAGAGCAACAGCUGGAUUUAAGAGCGCCACUCUGACAGCUGUGGCCCUCAACUCUGAGAAACUUCACCAAGCCGUCUCGCAUGGUGAGACUUCACGCCGCUCACUUUUCUUUUCCACUACACGUGUGGAGUUUUAAAGUGUUUUUUUUCCACCUGCAUCAGGCUCUGCAGAGAUGCGCUCAAUCUCCAGGACCACCGCCAUCCUCCCUUCAUGGACUUGGACCGCAGUCCCGAGGCCCACCGCGCCCUGCAGGACCACCGUCGGCCUCUUUUCAUGAAACCGCUCCACGCCGCACGCCUUACCACACCUCGCUCCCUCCCCACCCCCCCUGCGCCCCCGCCUCGCUCUCCUGGCCCACCUCGUUCUCCAGGCUCCCUGUGGACACUUGACUUUUCCAGAAGCCUCUGCAGGCCCACGCUUCACUCCACAGGCCCCCACUAGUCUCCAGGCGCCUCAUGCCCACAGCCAGUCUCUUUGAUGUUGCCCUCCUGGCAGACAACAUCGGGGUUGGUGGAUGGAUCGGUGUGCGUGUGUGAAAAAAAAAAGGAGGAAAAAAAAAUUACAGCAGCUAUAUAAGACCAACAAGCUCCAUUGGUGUGUGUGUGUGUGUGUGUGUGUGUGUGUACUGGAAUACACUCUUCUUUUUCACACACACAAACAGAGAAAAAAGGGAAACAUGAAAAGGACUAUUUGAUGAGCAGCUGACAGCAGCUCGACUGGCUCUGCUCGGUCUGGCCACAGUGGGCGGGACUUCUUCUGAAGAUUGUUACGCGUCACCACCAAUAAGACUCCAGUCCGUCAGCUGUCAGACCACAACAGGCUGCUUAGGUUCACUGGCACUCACAAAAAAUGAAUUGUAUUUAAAAAAGAGGUUCAAUAGAACCUAGAAUAGAUUUACAAACAAAAGGCAAUCGACACAAACUUUAGCCCAAACUAAAUUAUUUGAAAAUAAAAAUGGAGAAGCAAUUUUGUACAUUGCGAAACGUUCAGAAACGUUGGGGAAUGUUCUUAACAAAGUCUGACAAUGUCAUUAUUAUGAUUCAUUAUCCCCUAAAAAAAUAAACAUCGUUGAGAGUGCAAAUAAUAUCAUGUAAAUACACAAGAGAC